UACAGAGGGGGCAAGCGUUGUUCGGAAUUACUGGGCGUAAAGAGCGUGUAGGCGGCCAGGUAGGUCGGUUGUGAAAACUGGAGGCUCAACCUUCAGAGGUCGACCGAAACCAUCUGGCUAGAGUCCGGGAGAGGAGAGUGGAAUUCCUGGUGUAGCGGUGAAAUGCGCAGAUAUCAGGAAGAACACCCGUGGCGAAAGCGGCUCUCUGGAGCGGUACUGACGCUGAGACGCGAAAGCGUGGGGAGCGAACAGG
rnacentral:rRNA from 1 species